AUUGAACGCUGGCGGCAGGCCUAACACAUGCAAGUCGAGCGGAGCGGCGGACGGGCGAGUAAUGCCUAGGAAUCUGACUGGUAGUGGGGGAUAACGUCCGGAAACGGGCGCUAAUACCGCAUACUAGCAGUUGAGCGUAGGUCGGUUUAGCUAGUUGGUGGGGGAAGGGCCCACCAAGGCGACGAUCCGUAACUGGUCUGAGAGGAUGAUCAGUCACACUGUAACUGAGACACGGUCCAGACUCCUACGGGAGGCAGCAGUGGUGAAUAUUGGACAAUGGGCGAAAGCCUGAUCCAGCCAUGCCGCGUGUGUGAAGAAGGUCUUCGGAUUGUAAAGCACUUUAAGUUGGGAGGCGUUACCAGCAGAAUAAGCACCGGCUAACUUCGUGCCAGCAGCCGCGGUAAUAC
rnacentral:rRNA from 1 species